rnacentral:rRNA from 1 species
UGGGGAAUUUUGGACAAUGGGCGAAAGCCUGAUCCAGCAAUGCCGCGUGUGUGAAGAAGGCCUUCGGGUUGUAAAGCACUUUUGUCCGGAAAGAAAUCCUUGGCUCUAAUACAGUCGGGGGAUGACGGUACCGGAAGAAUAAGCACCGGCUAACUACGUGCCAGCAGCCGCGGUAAUACGUAGGGUGCAAGCGUUAAUCGGAAUUACUGGGCGUAAAGCGUGCGCAGGCGGUUUGCUAAGACCGAUGUGAAAUCCCCGGGCUCAACCUGGGAACUGCAUUGGUGACUGGCAGGCUAGAGUAUGGCAGAGGGGGGUAGAAUUCCACGUGUAGCAGUGAAAUGCGUAGAGAUGUGGAGGAAUACCGAUGGCGAAGGCAGCCCCCUGGGCCAAUACUGACGCUCAUGCACGAAAGCGUGGGGGAGCAAAACAGGAUUAGAUACCCCUGGUAGUCCACGCCCUAAACGAUGUCAACUAGUUGUUGGGGAUUCAUUUCCUUAGUAACGUAGCUAACGCGUGAAGUUGACCGCCUGGGGAGUACGGUCGCAAGAUUAAAACUUAAAUGAAUUGACGGGGUCAUAGCUGUUUCCU